UACGGGGGGAGCAAGCGUUGUUCGGAUUUACUGGGCGUAAAGGGCUCGUAGGCGGCCAACUAAGUCAGACGUGAAAUCCCUCGGCUUAACCGGGGAACUGCGUCUGAUACUGGAUGGCUUGAAUCCGGGAGAGGGAUGCGGAAUUCCAGGUGUAGCGGUGAAAUGCGUAGAUAUCUGGAGGAACACCGGUGGCGAAGGCGGCAUCCUGGACCGGCAUUGACGCUGAUGAGCGAAAGCCAGGGGAGCAAACGGG
rnacentral:rRNA from 1 species